ACUGGGCGUAAAGCGCAUGCAGGCGGUUUGUUAAGUCAGAUGUGAAAGCCCGGGGCUCAACCUCGGAACCGCAUUUGAAACUGGCAGGCUAGAGUCUUGUAGAGGGGGGUAGAAUUUCAGGUGUAGCGGUGAAAUGCGUAGAGAUCUGAAGGAAUACCAGUGGCGAAGGCGGCCCCCUGGACAAAGACUGACGCUCAGAUGCGAAAGCGUGGGUAGCAAACAGGAUUAGAUACCCUGGUAGUCCACGCCGUAAACGCUGUCUACUUGGAGGUUGAGGUUUAGACUUUGGCUUUCGGCGCUAACGCAUUAAGUAGACCGCCUGGGGAGUACGGCCGCAAGGUUAAAACUCAAAUGAAUUGACGGGGGCCCGCACAAGCGGUGGAGCAUGUGGUUUAAUUCGAUGCAACGCGAAGAACCUUACCUACUCUUGACAUCCAGCGAAUCCUUUAGAGAUAGAGGAGUGCCUUCGGGAGCGCUGAGACAGGUGCUGCAUGGCUGUCGUCAGCUCGUGUUGUGAAAUGUUGGGUUAAGUCCCGCAACGAGCGCAACCCUUAUCCUUGUUUGCCAGCACAUAAUGGUGGGAACUCCAGGGAGACUGCCGGUGAUAAACCGGAGGAAGGUGGGGACGACGUCAAGUCAUCAUGGCCCUUACGAGUAGGGCUACACACGUGCUACAAUGGCAGAUACAGAGGGCAGCGAAGCUGCGAAGUGGAGCGAAUCCCUUAAAGUUUGUCGUAGUCCGGAUUGGAGUCUGCAACUCGACUCCAUGAAGUCGGAAUCGCUAGUAAUCGUGGAUCAGAAUGCCACGGUGAAUACGUUCCCGGGCCUUGUACACACCGCCCGU
rnacentral:rRNA from 1 species